GAAAUGCGAUAAGUAAUGUGAAUUGCAGAAUUCAGUGAAUCAUCGAAUCUUUGAACGCACAUUGCGCCCCCUGGUAUUCCGGGGGGCAUGCCUGUCCGAGCGUCAUUACUGCCCUCAAGCGCGGCUUGUGUGUUGGGCCCUCGCCCCCCCGGGGGCGUGCCCGAAAGGCAGUGGCGGCGCCGUGCCCGGUCCUCGAGCGUAUGGGGCUUUGUCACCCGCUCUGGAGGCCCGGCCGGCCGCCGCCGACCCCGUCAGACCACUUAACCGGUUGACCUCAGGUCAGGCGGGGCUACCCGCUGAGUUUAA
rnacentral:misc_RNA from 1 species